GACAGAGGUCCCGAGCGUUAGGCGGAAUCACUGGGCUUAAAGCGUGUGUAGGUGGAUGCCUAAGUACCUUGUGAAAUCCCACGGCUUAACCGUGGAACUGCUGGGUAUACUGGGCGUCUUGAGCCACUCAGGGGCUACCGGAACAAGCGGUGGAGCGGUGAAAUGCGUAGAUAUCGCUUGGAACGCCAAUGGUGAAAACAGGUAGCUGGGGGUGUGCUGACACUGAGACACGAAAGCCAGGGGAGCAAACGGG
rnacentral:rRNA from 1 species